UACGUAGGGUGCGAGCGUUGUCCGGAAUUAUUGGGCGUAAAGAGCUUGUAGGCGGUCUGUCGCGUCUGCUGUGAAAUCCGGGGCUCAACCCCGGACUUGCAGUGGGUACGGGCAGACUAGAGUGUGGUAGGGGAGACUGGAAUUCCUGGUGUAGCGGUGAAAUGCGCAGAUAUCAGGAGGAACACCGAUGGCGAAGGCAGGUCUCUGGGCCACUACUGACGCUGAGAAGCGAAAGCAUGGGGAGCGAACAGG
rnacentral:rRNA from 1 species